UAGCGUAGGGAGCGAGCGUUUGUCCGGAUUCAUUGGGCGUAAAGAGCUCGUAGGCGGCUUGGUAAGUCGGAUGUGAAACCUCCACGGCUCAACCUGGAGUCGCCAUCCGAUACUGCCAUGGCUAGAGUCCGGUAGGGGCCCACGGAAUUCCUGGUGUAGCGGUGAAAUGCGCAGAUAAUCAGGAGGAACACCGAUGGCGAAGGCAGUGGGCUGGGCCGGCACUG
rnacentral:rRNA from 1 species